UAGAGUUUGAUCCUGGCUCAGAGCGAACGUUUGCGGCGGGCCUAACACAUGCAAGUCGAACGCACUAGCAAUAGUGAGUGGCGCACGGGUGCGUAACACGUGGGUAAUCAACCCUUCAGCUUGGGAUAACGACUUGAAAGGGUCGCUAAUACCGGAUACGGCGCGGGAGGCUUCGGCUUCUCACGAGAAAGCCUCGCAAGGGGCACUGAAGGACGAGCCUGCGGCCCAUCAGCUAGUUGGUGAGGUAAGAGCUCACCAAGGCGGAGACGGGUAGCUGGUCUGAGAGGAUGAUCAGCCACACUGGAACUGAGACACGGUCCAGACUCCUACGGGAGGCAGCAGUGGGGAAUAUUGCGCAAUGGGCGAAAGCCUGACGCAGCCACGCCGCGUGAGCGAUGAAGGCCUUCGGGUCGUAAAGCUCUGUGGGGAGAGACGAAGAAAGACCGUGAAGAGCGGGCCUUGACGGUAUCUCCUUAGCAAGCACCAAGCGAACUCCGUGCCAGCAGCCGCGGUAAUA
rnacentral:rRNA from 1 species